CUAUUUACAGCAAACUUCCCACACUCUGUUGUCUUGUGAUAGAUCUGAACUUCACAGAAUCACAGGGGAUGGCACUGUACCCUUCUGUGCUGAAAAGAGCUUGAGAAGAAAACUAUGUAGUGCAAGAAGCAGAGAAGUGGGAAAGGGCAACACAAUAGUCUUCCAUGGAGAUGCUUCAAGACAUAUCUAUUUAUUUCUGAGGAGCUGGAAAGAAAGCUGAAGCCCUAAGAAACUGUGGGGCAUUUAUUAGCCUCUCACUAGCCAAGCUCAAGAAGUCCUAUGUUUCAAGCUGGCAGAAGACCUUAUACACAGUGUAACACCAUCCUGCUGAAGAAGGAGAAUCCAUAUGAGGACAAAUUGAACAUACAACUACAAAUGUACAAACUGGAGACCAAAGUGCUCACCUAAGAAUUAAAAUGUCUUGCUCAGAUUCUACAUGUUCUUGAAGAGCAAAUGGGCUUUGAGGAAUCUUUAAGGGAAAAUCAGUUUCCAGAUUUCAUGAUGAUUCUUCAGAACUUCAGUGAAGCUG